rnacentral:rRNA from 1 species
UACGUAGGGUGCGAGCGUUGUCCGGAUUUAUUGGGCGUAAAGAGCUCGUAGGCGGUUUGUCGCGUCGGCCGUGAAAUCUCCACGCUUAACGUGGAGCGUGCGGUCGAUACGGGCAGACUUGAGUUCGGUAGGGGAGACUGGAAUUCCUGGUGUAGCGGUGAAAUGCGUAGAUAUCUGGAGGAACACCGGUGGCGAAGGCGGCAUCCUGGACCAAUUCUGACACUGAGGAGCGAAAGCCAGGGGAGCAAACGGG